rnacentral:rRNA from 1 species
UAACAAUGAUUCCCCCAGUAACGGCGAGUGAACAGGGAAAAGCUCAAAGUUGGAAGCUCCUGGCCCUAGGCUAGGCGCAUUGUAAACUAAAGCUGUAAAGUAGUUCGGUUGGCCUGGUAAAAAAGUUCCCUGGAAUGGGGCGACAUGGAGGGUGAAAUCCCCGUCUUUGGCCAGAGUUCAGCCGUGCGUUUGCUUUGCUGCGAAGAGUCAGGUUGUUUGGGAAUGCAGCCUAAAAUGGGAGGUAGACUUCUCCUAAAGCUAAAUAUUGACGAAAGACCGAUAGCGAACAAGUACCGUGAGGGAAAGAUGAAAAGCACUUUGAAAAGAGGGUCAAAAAGUACGUGAAAUUGCUGAAAGGGAACCGUAUGAAAUCAGCCUGAUGUGUGGGUAAUCAGCCUGGGCUUUGGCCUGGGUGCACUUGCCCAUGUAUUAGCCUGCGACAGUUUGACCUGGGGGAAAAAAGAUGGGGGAAUGUGGCCUCGGCUUCGGUCGUGGUGUUAUAGCCCCUGUCAAAAUACCUUGGGUUGGACUGAGGACUGCAGCGAGCCGUAAGGCAUGGGUCCCGGGCGCUCUGUCUCGGCGAAAAGUGAAUCUCUGCUUCGGGUGGUGCGCUUUUCUUCAGGGCAGACUCGUCUGUUUCUUCUUUCUCUCGCUUAGGUCGUAGGCAUAAUGAUUUUAUAUGACCCGUCUUGAAACACGGACCAA